AAAAAGUACACAUAAACACUCACACACAAGCACAUCCAUGGCCUAUAAAUUGUGUAGCAAAUUUCAGCUAACACACAAGCAAGAUCUACCUAGCAAUUGUUUAUCAAUUAAGGUUUCUAAGAGAAAGUACGUGUUUGGAAAAUGGGUUCCAAGGGUGUUUCCCUUCUCCUGUUCCUCAACCUCCUUUUCUUUUCCAUGAUUAGCUCAAGCAGCAGCUACAAAUCACCACCACCUUGUAAUGUCCCUUCUCCUGGAACACCACCCCCCCCAA
rnacentral:lncRNA from 1 species